rnacentral:misc_RNA from 1 species
GAUGAAGAACGCAGCGAAAUGCGAUAAGUAAUGUGAAUUGCAGAAUUCAGUGAAUCAUCGAAUCUUUGAACGCACCUUGCGCCCUUUGGCUAUUCCGAAGGGCAUGCCUGUUUGAGUAUCAUGAACACCUCAACCCUCAUGGUUUGCCAUGAUGGGCUUGGACUUUGGGGGUCUUGCUGGAUUGUAGUCAGCUCCCCUUAAAUGAAUCAGCUUGCCAGUGUUUGGUGGCAUCACAGGUGUGAUAAAUAUCUACGCUUGUGGUUUUACAUCAGAUAACCUUCAGUGAUGGAGGUUCACUGGAGCUCAUAAAGGUGUCUCUCCUCUGUGAGGACAGCUCUUUGAAUGUUUGCUCUCAAAUCAGGCAGGACUACCCGCUGAACUUAAGCAUAUCAAUAAGCGGAGGA